rnacentral:rRNA from 1 species
UACGUAGGGUGCAAGCGUUGUCCGGAAUUACUGGGCGUAAAGAGCUCGUAGGCGGUUUGUCGCGUCGUCUGUGAAAUCCCGCAGCUCAACUGCGGGCUUGCAGGCGAUACGGGCAGACUUGAGUACUGCAGGGGAGACUGGAAUUCCUGGUGUAGCGGUGAAAUGCGCAGAUAUCAGGAGGAACACCGAUGGCGAAGGCAGGUCUCUGGGCCACUACUGACGCUGAGAAGCGAAAGCUAGGGGAGCAAACGGG